GCUAAUAUGGAGCAUCGGUGGCCAACGACAUCGGAGGAGAAGGCGAGAAACUCGGUGUAGGGAAAUAUGUACUCCGUCAAGCUAAUCACCGGAGAUGAGUUCCGAGGGAUGCAAGCUUCCUGUGCAAUGGGAAAACUCUGACAUAUUGGUGAUGAAACAAGUACGUGUUCGUAGCCCCUAUUUUUCCGAUUGCGUCUUUGGAGGAACUGAUGCUGCCAACAACCGAGUCAAGAAAGUGGUAAGCCCCACUUUCAUUUCAUUGUGUCUAAUGUUAAAGCCUCUGUUUCAGUGGAUAUUAAUGCUUUGUCUUGAGUUUAUGGGAUUGAAAUUCAGGUGGCUUACACCAUCUUCUUGUUUUUGUUAAUGUUAUUACAUCAUCUUAUUCAAUACACGGGAUAUACAACUAACCUAGCUAGACAA